UACGUAGGGUGCAAGCGUUGUCCGGAAUUAUUGGGCGUAAAGAGCUUGUAGGCGGUUUGUCGCGUCUGCUGUGAAAUUUCGGGGCCCAACCCCGAACUUGCAGUGGGUACGGGCAGACUAGAGUGUGGUAGGGGAGACUGGAAUUCCUGGUGUAGCGGUGAAAUGCGCAGAUAUCAGGAGGAACACCGAUGGCGAAGGCAGGCCUCUGGGCCACUACUGACGCUGAGAAGCGAAAGCAUGGGGAGCGAACAGG
rnacentral:rRNA from 1 species